GUGAGAAUAUUUUUCCCUGAUAUGUAGCAUUUGCUUUCAAUUAGGCCACCCAGGCAACGGCUAGGAUCUCCAGCCAUAGGGCUGGCAUUGUCAAUUCGACCGUAAGUUAGGGCAUUAUAGAAGAUGUUAGCCAAGGCAAGGAAGGUAGCGGCCAUGGCCGAAUGAGAUUUACUGAUUAUGACAAAGAAAUACUAAGACCUUUCGACUAAGGUGG
rnacentral:lncRNA from 1 species